rnacentral:misc_RNA from 1 species
UUAAAUUUCAAGUCUCUUACUUCAAAAUCAUGGGACUUUCAUACAAACUUCCAACCCCCGUUUUACCUCUUUAAGGGUCGAGUUUCGUAAAAUUAGUUCUUAGUAGAUGUCUACGCCUUAUAAGGAACCUACUUGUCAAAUAUCAAAUUUGUAGCUCUUAUAGUUUCGGAGAUUUCGUGAUGAAUGAGUCAAUGUACCAUCCCCCGUUUUAACCCCGAAAGGGAGUUGAUUUCUAAAGAUACAUUGUUUAGA